rnacentral:rRNA from 1 species
CUAGCCGUAAACGAUGGAUGCUAGGUGUGGGUGGUAUUGACCCCAUCCGUGCCGAAGCUAACGCGUUAAGCAUCCCGCCUGGGGACUACGGCCGCAAGGUUAAAACUCAAAGGAAUUGACGGGGACCCGCACAAGCAGCGGAGCGUGUGGUUUAAUUCGAUGCUACACGAAGAACCUUACCCAGGUUUGACAUACAGGUAGUAGUGAAGCGAAAGCAGAACGACUCGCAAGAGAGCCUGCACAGGUGC